rnacentral:rRNA from 1 species
UAAGGCAUCUUAUUAAUAUUUAAAGCUUCGCACUUGAUGAUGGGUGUGCGGCUGAUUAGAUAGUUGGCGGGGUAACGGCCCACCAAGUCUACGAUCAGUAGCUGAUGUGAGAGCAUGAUCAGCCACACGGGGCACUUGAGACUACGGGCCCGACUCCUUACGGGAGGCAGCAGUAAGGAAUAUUUGGACAAUGGACGAAAGUCUGAUCCAGCCAUGCCGCGUGAAGGUAUUAAGGUCCUUCUGGAUUGUAAACUUCUUUUAUAUGGGACGAAAAAAGGGCAUUCUUGUUCACUUGACGGUACCAUAUGAAUAAGCACCGGCUAACUCCGUG